rnacentral:ncRNA from 1 species
GUGUUGUAUGAAAGGAGAGAAGGUUGGCAUUCCCCUUGACGAGAAUGAAAGAGGCCCUCAGGCCUGCACAGCACACAUAUAGUUAAGGUUUUACCACCUACUUUGUAGCAUUUAACCAUGUUUUUUC